AUAGUACUCCCUCAGUCCCAAAAUUCUUGUCUUAGAUUUGUCUAGAUACGGAUGUAUCUAAUACUAAAACGUGACUUGAUACAUCUGAACUUAGACAAAUCUAAGACAAGAAUUUUAGGACGGAUGGAGUAUAAA
rfam:Triticum aestivum genome assembly, contig: Triticum_aestivum_CS42_TGACv1_scaffold_129815_2BL